GGGUGAGAAUCCCACAGGCCGUAAACCCAAGGUUUCCAGGGGAAGGUUCGUCCGCCCUGGGUUAGUCGGGACCUAAGCUGAGGCCGAAAGGCGUAGGGGAUGGACAACAGGUUGAUAUUCCUGUACUACCGAUAACCGUUUGAGAGAAGGGAUGACACAGUAGGAUAAGCUAAGCACACUGUUGGUUAUGUGUGCCCAAGCAUUGAGGCAGUCAAAGUAGGCAAAUCCGCUUUGAUAAUGCUGGGAUGUGAUGGGGAGCGAAAUUUAGUAGCGAAGUAG
rnacentral:rRNA from 1 species